rnacentral:rRNA from 1 species
AACGAACGCUGGCGGCAGGCCUAACACAUGCAAGUCGAACGCUGCAGCAAUGCAGAGUGGCAGACGGGUGAGUAACGCGUGGGAAUCUUCCUAUCGGUACGGAAUAGCUCAGGGAAACUUGGGGUAAUACCGCAUACGCCCUUCGGGGGAAAGAUUUAUCGCCGAUAGAUGAGCCCGCGUCUGAUUAGCUAGUUGGUGAGGUAAUGGCUCACCAAGGCGACGAUCAGUAGCUGGUCUGAGAGGAUGACCAGCCACACUGGGACUGAGACACGGCCCAGACUCCUACGGGAGGCAGCAGUGGGGAAUAUUGGACAAUGGGCGCAAGCCUGAUCCAGCCAUGCCGCGUGAGUGACGAAGGUCUUCGGAUUGUAAAGCUCUUUUGACGGGGACGAUAAUGACGGUACCCGCAGAAUAAGCCCCGGCUGACUUCGUGCCAGCCGCCGCAGUAACAC